UGUCCCGAGUGUGUAUAGAGAGUGUUAAUAUGUGGGGAUCGCUGGUCUGCGCAGACAGAGUGGGCCCGUUUCCGCGCUGUAUCUCUAAACUAAAUUACCUUACUUUAAGCCAAGCCCUCUAGUGAAUGGGUGAUAGCAGAGGGGAAGAAGCUGUUCCUGAGUCUGGUGGUGCGCGCUUUCAAGCUUCUGUACCUUCUGCCAGACGGGAGGUGAGAAGAUGGAAUGACCGGAGUGGGACAUUAUUUAAGGACAUUAGGCAGAGUGAAGUGUAGAUGGAGU